UGUCCUCUUGAUCAGAAGAAAAAAGUCUCUACCAAGCAGCCGGCCUGCAGAGAGACCAGAGAACAACGCUCAGAUCCCACCAGCGGAGCCUUGCUAUGCUACCGCGAGCUUCUCCAGAAACCAGGAGGAUCUUCUUCUCUACUCCAACGUCAGUCCAGCUCGCCCCCCCAGACGCAAGGAGGAGGUGGAGGAAGUUCUGUACUCACGUGUCAACUUUGAGAGUUCUGGUGCUGCCAGCGAACGGAGAUGUGAAGGAGCUGUGGAUGAUUCUUCUGCUCUGUACAGCACCG